CAUAACUCCUUCACUUCACCCGCGAAUCCAGCAGGCAGCAGCCGGAGAAGACACCGGGGUAGCCAGCUAGACUUUCCUCUCAGAGGCGAGCUCUCCGCUCCGCUUUUGGACUCCAUUCCGGUCAUUGCGCAUUACCCCGCGGACCCAGCGCAGUGUGUGUCAGCGUCAAUCAUCCCCGCUAUAUGUGUGACAGCGGCAGACCCGCCCACUGAAUACAGUCUGAGGAGCGAAGCAGACAGUUUCGAUCAGGAGUCCACCGAUCAGUGGUCAGACGCAGACAGCAAGGAAGAAAAAGAGGAAAGCGUAUCACAAAGAAGACCGCACCAUCGUCCCAGCUGCCCUCCGAGGUCUACAGCAGCAGGACUCACUCUGAGAACCUUCUCUUGCCGUCACUAAUCGUCUCAGACAUAUCAGAAAAGAACACAAAGAACAGGAAGCUGGUGGUCUCCGUGAGAGUCAAAAAAUAAAGAUUCAAACGUC